rnacentral:rRNA from 1 species
AGAGCGAACGCUGGCGGCAGGCCUAACACAUGCAAGUCGAGCGCCGUAGCAAUACGGAGCGGCAGACGGGAGAGUAACACGUGGGAACGUACCCUUUGGUUCGGAACAACCCAGGGAAACUUGGGCUAAUACCGAAUAAGCCCUUACGGGGAAAGAUUUAUCGCCGAAGGAUCGGCCCGCGUCUGAUUAGCUAGUUGGUGGGGUAACGGCCCACCAAGGCGACGAUCAGUAGCUGGUCUGAGAGGAUGAUCAGCCUCAUUGGGACUGAGACACGGCCCAAACUCCUACGGGAGGCAGCAGUGGGGAAUAUUGGACAAUGAGCGCAAGCCUGAUCCAGCCAUGCCGCGUGGGUGAUGAAGGCCCUAGGGUUGUAAAGCCCUUUCGGCGGGGAAGAUAAUGACGGUACCCGCAGAAGAAGCCCCGGCUAACUUCGUGCCAGCAGCCGC